rnacentral:rRNA from 1 species
CCUACGGGGGGCAGCAGUGGGGGAUAUUGCACAAUGGAGGAAACUCUGAUGCAGCGACGCCGCGUGAGGGAAGACGGUCUUCGGAUUGUAAACCUCUGUCUUUGGGGAAGAAAAUGACGGUACCCAAAGAGGAAGCUCCGGCUAACUACGUGCCAGCAGCCGCGGUAAUACGUAGGGAGCGAGCGUUGUCCGGACUUACUGGGUGUAAAGGGAGCGUAGGCGGGCGAGAAAGUUGAAUGUUAAAUCUACCGGAUUAACUGGUAGCUGCGUUCAAAACUUCUUGUCUUGAGUGAAGUAGAGGCAGGCGGAAUUCCUAGUGUAGCGGUGAAAUGCGUAGAUAUCAGGAGGAACACCGGCGGCGAAGGCGGCCUGCUGGACUGCGACUGACGUUGAGGCUCGAAAGCGUGGGGAGCGAACAGGAUUAGAUACCCGAGUAGUC